rnacentral:rRNA from 1 species
CGGAGGAAAAGAAACCAACCGGGAUUGCCUUAGUAACGGCGAGUGAAGCGGCAAAAGCUCAAAUUUGAAAUCUGGUACCUUCGGUGCCCGAGUUGUAAUUUGGAGAGGGCAACUUUGGGGCCGUUCCUUGUCUAUGUUCCUUGGAACAGGACGUCAUAGAGGGUGAGAAUCCCGUGUGGCGAGGAGUGCGGUUCUUUGUAAAGUGCCUUCGAAGAGUCGAGUUGUUUGGGAAUGCAGCUCUAAGUGGGUGGUAAAUUCCAUCUAAAGCUAAAUAUUGGCGAGAGACCGAUAGCGAACAAGUACAGUGAUGGAAAGAUGAAAAGAACUUUGAAAAGAGAGUGAAAAAGUACGUGAAAUUGUUGAAAGGGAAGGGCAUUUGAUCAGACAUGGUGUUUUGUGCCCUCUGCUCCUUGUGGGUAGGGGAAUCUCGCAUUUCACUGGGCCAGCAUCAGUUUUGGUGGCAGGAUAAAUCCAUAGGAAUGUAGCUUGCCUCGGUAAGUAUUAUAGCCUGUGGGAAUACUGCCAGCUGGGACUGAGGACUGCGACGUAAGUCAAG